UAUUCCUAUUUUUCAGGAGUACACACGAGUCCAGAAGAAGUUUGGACCUUGGGGCUUUCAGAGGAGUCAAGAGAGACAGAACGUCUGUGCAUCUGUGACACUUACGCAGAGCUUUGCAGUUUGUUGGAACCUGAGCAGAGUUCACUUCAGUGACAUUCAUUUCCCGGCAUGGAUCCUUCCUACGUACAUCCAUCCUUCCCCCUCCCUUCCCGGUUCAGCUCCUCCCCCAUCCUCCCCCGCACCUCCACCCGCUCCUACACAGAAAACUUGCUAGUGCCAGCUGAUUCUCACUGGCCACGGCAUGAAACUGGGCACAAACAGCUGCUGCCUUCCCUAGGGCCAGAAGUCUCCAAGCCUACUCACUGCUCCUGACUCCAAGAAAAAGGCCAGCCUCACUCACUCUGGGACUUAUCUUAUCCCCUUACCUUUGCUGACCACUCUGGACAUAACUCUUUGCCUGUGUCUCCCCGGUGCCCUGAAGAUCUCCACCAGAUGGAUGAAUAAAGGAGCAACAACAAGUACCACGCUGAAAAAAAAAAGAGAGAGGGAAUAGGUGUGCAGGAUAUUCUAAUUGUUUUGUACUUGCCUCUUGGAAGCAAGGCACUGUAUCCUAGUCUUUGUAAGUCCCCACCCUGCCCAACAUACACAGGGUCCAGCCCAAAGAACUGAGCAGAGCAGACCCACAGAUGUUAAAGAAUCAUAAAAACUUUCACAUGGCUGAGGAAAUGUGUAUAUACCUAGGCUGGCCAUUGUCAUGUGUCUCUGACAACACAGAUGAGUGGUUCAAGCCAUGUACAAGACCAGGCUCUGCCCUGAUCAGUUGUACGAUAUUGAGAAUAUCGUACAAUUCUAAUCUCUAGUUCUCAGUUUUCUCAUCCGUGAAAUGGGCAUGAUUAUACUUCUCUAGUUCUCAGUUUAAUCUCUCUAGCUCUCAGUUUUCUCAUCUGUAAAAUGGGCAUGAUUAUACUUCACAGAGGUCUAACGGAGCAGUACUGGCAGUGCUGAUCCUAUGUGAAUGAUUGUCUCUACAAUCACUACCUAGUUUGGAACACACAUUCAGCUAUGGGUAAGUUUUUUAACCUCCACAUGCCUUAAUGUCCUCAUGUAUAAGAUGAGGAUGAUAAGAAUACCUCUCUUAUAGUGUUGCAUGAAUUAAAUGAGCUGAUAGAUGUAGAGGGCUGGAAAUAGUGCUUGGCACAGAGUAAGUGCUCAGUACACAUGGCUGUCCUUUUUAUUGGAAUUAGAUCUAAUAUAUGGAUCUAAUAUAUGGAAAGUCCCUAGCAUAUUGCCUAGCAGAGUGUCAGCACCUAGUAAUAAUAAUAACUAUUAUUAUUUCCUCACCUAUAAAAUGAGAUUGUAAUAGCUCCUCUCACACAGGAUUGUUCUGAGGAUUAACUUAGAUAAUAUCAAUAUAUAUGAACUCUCUUUGUAAAACUAUACAGGACUGUUCACAUGCUUCACUAUUAACUGUGUUAUUGGGGUACUGAUUCAACACAUAUUGUGUGUUACCUGCACCUCUUAUUUGAGAUUCAGAGAUAAACAAUAUCCGUGUGUUCAAGGGGCAGAUAAGCAUGUAAGGCCUAGGAUGGGUAUAACUAUAUAUAACUAUCCCACACCAGGCAGAGGGUGACGAGCUCUCUGACUAGCACAACAAAGCGAAUGCCAUGAGGCAUCAGGGAAGGAAGGCAAGCAGAUACACUGAGGCAGAAAGAGGAGUUCAGGAAUGGCUGCAGCAAGGAUAUAGGUGCAUAAACAGAACCUGGAUGAAUGAGCAGGAUUUGGACAAGUGAGGAUAGAGGUGAGAGAAAGACAUUCCUAGUAAAGGGGUCAGAAAGAGCAAAGGCCCAAAGCAGGAAUAGAAAGGGGGUAAUUGGAGAACUGCAAGCACGUCUGUGUUCAGAGAACAAAGCCUGACAGAGAAGGGCCAGGGAGGUAAGCUAGGAGGCCAGGCACCAUAGUCCCAGGGAGCCCAAGAGGGCCCUGUGAUCCUCACUGAUGACAUGGAGCAACGAUGUGCUGGGGACCGUCUAGGGAUGAGGAUUCAUGGUCAAACUGAAGAAUCCCAUGUAGCAGAAGUGCAGACAGAAUGGAGGAAUGCUUUUGCAGGGUCAGAGCUGAAACGGCAGGAACUGGGAUGGUUUCAUAGCUCCUUCAGAGCACCUCUCAGAUUUCAUAAUUGUAUAUUUACUUUUGUGUU